ensembl:snoRNA SNORD101 small nucleolar RNA, C/D box 101
GUUUGAAUGAUGACUUAAAAUUGUCGGAUACCCCUUCACUCCUUUCAUGAGUGAAACAUAGAAGUCUGACAAAC